GUCUGCGGCCAUGCUACCCUGAACAAGCCCAAUCCCAUCUUAUCUUGGAAGCUAAGCAGGGUUGGGCCUGGUUAGUACUUGGAUGGGAGACCACCUAGGAAGACCAGGUGCUGUAGGCG
rfam:Pteropus alecto contig13323, whole genome shotgun sequence.